CUUGGACUUCUGUGGUCCAAGAGAUCGGGACUGUAUACAUAUAUAUGUAUUAUACCCCUGUAUAUUAUAAUAUACUUAUAUACACCUAUACACACACAUAUAUAUAUAUAUACAUAUAUAUAAUAAACAGUCCUGAUCUCUUGGACCCCUGUUGUCCAAG
rnacentral:miRNA from 1 species